ACCUCACCUGUAGUUCAAGAGUU
rnacentral:piRNA from 1 species